AUACGGAGGACGCGAGCGUUAUCCGGAUUCAUUGGGUUUAAAGGGUGCGCAGGCGGCCGUGCAAGUCAGCGGUGAAAGCCCGGGGCUCAACCCCGUCUCGCGUCGCGAACUGCGUCCCUUGGUUGCGGGAAGGGGAGGCGGAACUCGUGGUGUAGCGGUGAAAUGCAUAGAUAUCACGAAGAACUCCGAUCGCGAAGGCAGCCUUCCGGCCCGUCAACGACGCUCAUGCUCGAAGGUGCGGGUAUCAAACAGGAUUAGAUACCCUGGUAGUCCGCACAGUAAACGAUGGACACCCGCGGUUUGGCCUGUAUGGCUGAGCCGCCAAGCGAAAGCGUUAAGUGUCCCACCUGGGGAGUACGCCGGCAACGGUGAAACUCAAAUGAAUUGACGGGG
rnacentral:rRNA from 1 species